GUUCUCGUAACUAGGCAACCGGAGCGUCCGGAGAUAAGCUGGAGGAUCCGGGACAAAUCUCCAGCAAGGCCUAUCUUUAUACCUACAUAAAAUGUGUUGCCAAUCCACGGUGCUGUUCCUUUCCUUUCUCCAGUGUCCCCAACUGAGAUUCAGAGAUCUCAGGUCUUGUGCAUGGGUUUUUCUUUUUCUUUCUUUCUUUUUUCUUGUUUUUUGUUUGUUUGUUUUUUGCUCAGGGAUGGGGACCCUCUAGAAUUCUGGCCGACUUAGGCAGCAUGACUACAGGAACAAUACACUGGGGCAAUUCUUGAUUUUUAGGUACAUAAAUUGCUGGCUAUUUGGUAUCUGCAAGAUGAAGAUUGUUAUCUCUUGACUGUUUUGUAAUAGUUUAUUUUUUAAAGAGGUAUGUAAUAUUUGCAUUUCUUUUAUAUACUUUGGAGAAAAAGAAAUGACAAGGACAUUCCUGUAGGGAAAAAAUUAUGCACAAUAUGUAGGGAUCUGUGUGUCCAUUCAUUUUCUACUUAAAUAAAUAUUUUCAAAUCCUGAUGAAAGGAUAGAAGGCACUGAGAAUCCCAGUGUAUUCGCGGGGAAUAUAAUGAUUUGAG
rnacentral:lncRNA from 1 species